UUUCAAGUCCUCUUCAUGUUGGCACUUUCACUUCCUCUGCUACAAGGUGAAGUGGCCACCAGGCUCGUGCAGGAGACUCUCCCCACGGCGUUGCCUGACACUCGAGCCUCCAAGAGCCCUUGAAAGGAGCGUGUCCUCAAGAUGAUCGGCCUGCUCUCUCCCGCGCUGCUGAGGUGGGGCCACGAGGCUUAGACAGAUUAAGCAACAUGCCUGAAGCCACAAUGCUUGUGAGGGACAGAGUCGAGCUCCAGCGCCCCAUUCGGCACCAUCCUUCAGCGCCUGGAGAGGGCCCUUCACAACCGCGUGUAUGGGCGGUGGAGGAUGAAGUCACGGCUCACAGCUCCAAGAGAAGCUCUGAGUCACGUUACGUCCACUUAGCACGCGGAGGAAACCCACAGGCCUGGAGGAGUUAGCUGGCCCGAGGAACGCGCCGGUCUCCUCGGGCUGGACAACCUUCAAAGCUCCGCGUGAGCAGCCUCGUCACCUUGCUUGAACCAGGCUGCCUCUCCAGAACUUGAAAAUAUCUAUCUGCACUUCAGUCAACCUUAUCUUGGGGGAGCAGAGGAGGCGGGGAUAGGAUAAGGGAAGGGGUGUCCUGCUGCCACCAUUUCUUGCCCGAAAAUGGGAUCAAUCAGUAGAUGCAAAGCUGCCCUUCAGUGGGGCUUCCUUCUUCAGUGGCUGGAGCUCUAGGAAUCUUCCCCCAGGAACCUGGAUGGAGUACAUGCAGCUCUUACAUGCCCACAAACUUCCAUGUCCCCAGGGAAAUUGCCAUGGCUCUGGGCAUUGGGGAGCACAUCCCAGCUGUUUCCUCCAGAUCCCCCUGGCAGAAGCCAAGGAGACAGAGAGGAGGAGGGGGCUGAGGAGAAUGAUAUCGAAAGGAAGUGUGGGCCUGACGCUGCCAGCACUGGCAAAGUUGGCUGCCUUACCAUCACUCUAUUUUCUGAUGAUCAAAGCAAUAAAUGCUCAUAGUGGAGAAGCUUGAAAAUGCUGCAAAGUGUAAAGAAAGAAUAAAAAUUACCCAUAAUCCCAUCCCACAGAGAUACACUCUCUCCUAAAAUUGUGAUGUGUUUCCUAAGGAUCUCUGCCCAUAAAGAUAAUUGCCCUCAUUCUUCA